rnacentral:rRNA from 1 species
GACGGGUGAGUAAUAUAUAGGUAACCUACCCUUGAGUGGGGGACAACAUGCCGAAAGGUGUGCUAAUCCCGCAUAACAUUCGGUGGCAUAAGUCAUCGAAUCAAAGAGGGGGAUCCUUCGGGACCUCUCGCUUGGGGAUGGGCCUGUAUCCUAUUAGCUAGUUGGUGGGGUAAUGGCCUACCAAGGCAAUGAUGGGUAGCCGAGCUGAGAGGCUGAUCGGCCACA